AACGAACGCUGGCGGCAUGCCUAACACAUGCAAGUCGAACGAGACCUUCGGGUCUAGUGGCGCACGGGUGCGUAACGCGUGGGAACCUGCCCUUAGGUUCGGAAUAACUCCCCGAAAGGGGUGCUAAUACCGGUUAAUGUCUUCGGACCAAAGAUUUAUCGCCUUUGGAUGGGCCCGCGUUGGAUUAGCUAGUUGGUAGGGUAAAAGCCUACCAAGGCGACGAUCCAUAGCUGGUCUGAGAGGAUGAUCAGCCACACUGGGACUGAGACACGGCCCAGACUCCUACGGGAGGCAGCAGUGGGGAAUAUUGGACAAUGGGCGAAAGCCUGAUACAGCAAUGCCGCGUGAGUGAUGAAGGCCUUAGGGUUGUAAAGCUCUUUUACCCGGGAUGAUAAUGACAGUACCGGGAGAAUAAGCACCGGCUAACUCCGUG
rnacentral:rRNA from 1 species